rnacentral:rRNA from 1 species
GACGAACGCUGGCGGCGUGCCUAACACAUGCAAGUCGAGCGAGUGAAUCUCCUUCGGGAGAGAAGCUAGCGGCGGACGGGUGAGUAACACGUGGGCAACCUGCCUCAUAGAGGGGAAUAGCCUCCCGAAAGGGAGAUUAAUACCGCAUAAGAUUGUAGUUUCGCAUGAAGUAGCAAUUAAAGGAGCAAUCCGCUAUGAGAUGGGCCCGCGGCGCAUUAGCUAGUUGGUGAGGUAACGGCUCACCAAGGCGACGAUGCGUAGCCGACCUGAGAGGGUGAUCGGCCACAUUGGGACUGAGACACGGCCCAGACUCCUACGGGAGGCAGCAGUGGGGAAUAUUGCACAAUGGGGGAAACCCUGAUGCAGCAACGCCGCGUGAGUGAUGACGGCCUCGGUUGUAAGACUCUGUCUUCUAGGACGAGUAAUAGACGGUACCGUCGUAGGAGGGAAGGACCGACGGCGUAACUACCGUAGCCGACGCAGCCGGGUAAACGUACGGUACUACG